UGGAGGGUGGACUAUAUAAGAAUCAACGAAGCUGUCACUAUCGCGAACUACCACACGACCCGCCCAAUAGGAUACAUUUGCAGAUAAAUAACAUCUAAGCACCACGCUCACAUGUGAUCUAUCACCUAACUCCCUCGCGUCAAGAGCUAAGCGCUUUGCAAACUUAUACAUAAACUCAUUAUCAAUUAGAACUAUAUCAAAUAUAGAACUAGAACAAACUAAGAACAUAAUAAUUAGAGACAUAAUGCAAUUAGAACAAAGAAUUAGAGAAAGAUAUGAAUAAUACCAAUCUUUAUUACCGAAGAUCCGAAUCCAGAGCGUAGUGCUCUACUUCUCUAAUUGCUAUCUAAUCAAACCUCUAAACUUGAAAGAUUAGGGAGUAGCUAAUUCUAAUUCUCUGUG
rnacentral:lncRNA from 1 species